rnacentral:rRNA from 1 species
CCCUUAGAUGUUCUGGGCCGCACGCGUGCUACACUGAGUAAUUCAAUGGGUAAGGGAACGCUAGAGCAUUACCUAAUCUUGAAAUUUGCUCGUGAUGGGGAUCGACGGUUGCAAUUUUCCGUCGUGAACGAGGAAUACCUUGUAGGCGCAUGUCAUCAUCAUGCGCCGAAUAUGUCCCUGCCCUUUGUACACACCGCCCGUCGCUCCUACCGAUUGAGUGAUCCGGUGAGGCUCUGGGACCUGGACGGAAAGAGCGUUUCGCUUGUUCUGUUUGGGAAACUUGGUCGAACCUUAUCAUUUAGAGGAAGGAGAAGUCGUAACA